GGCCAGCCUGGGCUACAUAGUGAGUUCAAGGCCCACCUGAACUACAUAGCGAGACCCUGUCUCACACACACAAAAAAAGGUUCUGAGUGAAAUGUUGGCAGAACCCUUGCAGGAUGCAAGGAACACAAUUUGAGAAUAAUUGACAUAACCUAAUCUUCCAUUUUCCAGAUGGGAGGCCUGAGGCCUGAGACAGACCAGGAUGCCAGAGGGAGAUGGGCUCCAUGGCUAGAAGUGCAUCCCUUGUCCCUCAUCUUUACAGAACUCACCGAGGAGAGGAUGGCUGCCAGCUUUGACCCCAACUCUUCCAGACUGCGUAGAUGGAGCCACAGUGCUCACCCAGGGAAGCAUGCGGACCCCAAGCCCGAGGUUCUCCCAAAGCUGAUUGUCCCAGAGCUAUGGGUGAUAAGAAUCAUUCUGGAGACACCUGUUGAGAAUAAAAGUUCCCAGGCCACCACAGUCCCCAUGGCAUUAGACUCCAGGGAGGGUCCUGAGAGCCUGCAUGGGAACAACAACUGCCAGUGGCCUCUUGUUACCGGGGAGGGGUUAGAAGCUGCCCCUCAAGGAGUCCCUGGAUGAACUCCAAGGUGUUGAGAGCUCGAGUCCAUACAGUCCCUAGGUGUGGUGGGGUGAAGCUUUACUCUCAAGCGGCGGUGGACCAGAAAGACCACCAGGAGGCAUCAGUGAGGAGAAAAAGCACACACAUGUCCUUCAUUGAUGGAGUAGGCCAGGGCCACCAGGUGAAGGCUGUGUCCCUGAGACAGCAGGUCCCAGGUGCUGGAUUGUAGUAAGUGAGGUUGAAGGCUAUUUCUGUGGAUGAAUGCACACCCACCCUGGUGAGCAGGCACCACCUGCUCAGCCAGAAACCAGAAUCUGCCUUUCCAGAAGGCUUCCUGGAGUGAGGGGUCCUGCCGGCUCUCCUGGUGGUUUCAAGCAGGUGGUCCCGGUUGGGAAUGUGCCUCUGGAUCACCAAGGCCCUGAAGCCUUCCCCCGAGGCGAGUCACUUCCCCUGUAGUGGCCCAGGCCUGCCCUGACCUCGCCCCCUCUCCCCAGGGUGUGAAGGAGUUCAAGUGUGAGGUUUGUGGCCGGGAGUUCACACCCUGCAGGCCAACAUGAAGCGGCACAUGCUGAUCCACACCAGCGUCCGGCCCUACCAGUGCCACAUCUGCUUCAAGACCUUUGUGCAGAAGCAGACCCUCAAGACCCACAUGAUUGUACACUCGCCUGUGAAGCCAUUCAAGUGCAAGGUA
rnacentral:lncRNA from 1 species